rnacentral:rRNA from 1 species
CCUACGGGAGGCAGCAGUGGGGAAUAUUGCACAAUGGGCGCAAGCCUGAUGCAGCAACGCCGCGUGAGGGAUGAAGGCCUUCGGGUUGUAAACCUCUUUUAGCAGGGAAGAAGCGAAAGUGACGGUACCUGCAGAAAAAGCACCGGCUAACUACGUGCCAGCAGCCGCGGUAAUACGUAGGGUGCAAGCGUUGUCCGGAAUUAUUGGGCGUAAAGAGCUCGUAGGCGGUUUGUCGCGUCUGCUGUGAAAACCUGAGGCUCAACCUCAGACCUGCAGUGGGUACGGGCAAGCUAGAGUGCGGUAGGGGAGAUGGGAAUUCCUGGUGUAGCGGUGGAAUGCGCAGAUAUCAGGAGGAACACCGAUGGCGAAGGCACAUCUCUGGGCCGUAACUGACGCUGAGGAGCGAAAGCGUGGGGAGCGAACAGGAUUAGAUACCCUGGUAGUCCACGCCGUAAACGGUGGGUGCUAGUUGUGGGUCACAUUCCACGUGAUCCGUGACGAAGUUAACACAUUAAGCACCCCGCCUGGGGAGUACGGUCGCAAGACUAAAACUCAAAGGAAUUGACGG